GAUCAUCACACCAUAAAUCCCAUCACUUUGGCAUAAGUUUCCAUUUGCUUUUGCUGUCGAUACAGUAAACCUCACAACUAGGGUGACGCUGCUUGAUGUGGGACCACAUGUAGCUCUUCCUCUUCAGCAAAAGACUGCAAUAAGGGCACUGGAAUAUUCCAGGUGUUCCACACUCCAAUUUCCAAUGUCUCUGCAUGUGACACCGAUGUUUGUAACUCUUUCCACAAUUAGGACAAUGAUGUCGUUCCUCCCCCUCCCCCUCAGCAAUAAAAAUAAUGGUCGUUUGCGAUGAUCUCCUUCUCCCUGAAACACCAAAGCCAGUGGUACAUCAUUAGUCCAAUCCUUAAUUAACUCCUCGUCCUGUGACUCAGACAAUAAUUUUCAUGCUCUCAUAACCUCAAAAUAUCAAUUUUAUUAGAAUUUUUUACACAAAACAGUGGACUCCUCGUCACAGCUCAUCACUGGGUGGGGGGAAGUGUGUCAAUGGCGUACAGUGAACAUCCAGGAUGAUGAUUUUUAAUGUGUGAGUACAGAUUGAACUUGUGUUUGCUCCUGGCGUCGCAAUAAGGACAUUGAAAUCUCGGUGGUUUUCCACACUCGUACUGACGAUGUCGAUACAUAUGGGAUCUGUGUUUGUACCCACGAUGACAAUUGGGGCAGAAAAAUUGUUUUUCGGUGUCAUCACAGUUCCUCGGCCUCCAGGACCUCCUGUCCCCCCAGGAUAUCUCCAAUUGUCCUGGAACAUCAACGAAAAUUCAGUCGUUAGUUGGUCGUCUGUCCCUGAGGUGUCACGAGGGUUAUGAUUGAGGUUAGGUCAUUAAAAUCAUUCAGCAUGAUGAUCUUGCAAGUACACACGUACACAAAAUGCAAUGCAAGUGUUGUUAUGGGGAUUUUUAACGUGUAUUAGACGUCUGAUGAUGCCCCAGGUGCUGGAACACGUCGUAAAAUCGUGAGAUCACGACCUGAUUUCAGUGAUUUUUAUGGUAAAAUGAGGGAUGAUCGUCUUCUUGGAGGACCUUGGAGGGUACCUGAUGCCUCCAGAUGAUGUCCUCUGUAUCCUCGUCGAUGAUUAAUUUGUUAUAAACAAUUUAGUGAACGUCAGGAGUCGAAAGAGUGAUUUUUCACGUUUUAUAACCAACAAAAUGAUGAAUUUUCCUGGAACACGAGCACUUGACGAGAUUAUCCCUCAGGGCACAGUAAAAACCGGAAAUCUAAGGACUCCACCUCAUUCAGGACACAUUCACAACAGGAUUCUCGUGUUUAACAACAAAUGUCUCGUCCUGGUGACACCAAAAACACGAAAUUUCAAUUUUUAGGGGUUUUUUUUAUUCAAAUUAACAGCAAUUAAUUCCCUACGACAAUUUCUUCACGUUCACUGGCCUGUCAGGAUGCCACCUCCUGAUGUGCCUGUACACAUUAGACGACGAAUUAUCCUUCUUCGGGCAGUAAGGACACGCGAACUUGAGUGUUUGUCCACACUUGUGCCUCACCAAGUCCCACAUACGUCUGAACCCAGCGUCACAAUGAGGACACAAAUAAGUCGUUGCUGACGUGAUGUCUGGCCAGUACCUUCCGCCAUCUGCAAUAAAAUCCACAAAACAAUUAAUCAAAAUGGCCGCUCACAAUUCAACCUGAGUACGUGGGUGACACACAGGACAGUGAUACAUUAAAUAAUAAAUCUUCAAGAUGCAGAAUGAGUGGAGAUGCUCCAGGUGAUGCGUUUAUUAACAUCAAAUAUCCAAAAUGACAAUGGAAAUCAUCAAAAUAAAUAACGAAAAAUUGUCAGAAAAUAUUGGGCUAAUUUUUGUGAACGAUAACAGGUAAACCGUCAUGCCUCAUUCGUAUGUGUUUGUAAACGUUCGACGAACACUUGUCCUUUUUGUUACAAUAUGGACACUUGAACCUGGGCUCUUUGCCACAGUCGUAUUUGAGAGUGGACUUUCCUCUCGACUACCAUCGAGAUACUCCAGACUGGUCCUGAGGACAUCAAGAAGACCUCCAUCAUGAUGUGGUAGGCCUAGAGCACCUGUUAAACAAUGAGGAAGAACGACCUGGUUAGAUCGAUUGGAACAAAGACUUUAACGUAUUCAGGCAUAAAAAAUAAAACCAUAAAUGAAUAAUAAUGUUGUCUAGCGAUGGAUAAAUCACUUGGGGAUGAUACAAAGGUGGUACCAACGAGGUAGCAAAGAGUAUUCAAUAUUUAUUGUUCAAUAAAACUCCAGGAAUUGUUGUUAAUCUCGAAUCAGUAAAAUUUAAUGCUAAAUCCCUGCAUUCCAGGGUGCCAUCUGGCCACAUGUCGUCGUAUGUUGAAUGCUUUUUUAUCCUUUUUAUCACAGUAAGGACAUCCAUAACGAGGAUCACGACUGCAGACGUAUCUGUAGUGCAUCUCCACAGCAUUUUUCGUCCUGAAGCCUUUGUGACACGUGGGACAGCUCCAGGGUCCCCUGAAUUUAAGAGGAACGAUUGAUAUCUCUGAAAAUGUUAAAAAAAUCGUUAGUCAAUCAUUUCACGAUUAAUUUACUGUUAAUUAAUGGUAAAACAAUGACAAAUGAGCGAACAUUAUGUUCGAGAUAAACGAAUACAGUUGGACAUGGAAUCGAUGAGCUGCACUGGAAGACCAGAAUGACGACUCCUGACGUGUCUGUAGACGUUGGAUCUGAUUGUCGAUGACAUGCUGCAGUAACGACACUUGAAACGUGCGUCUUGUUUGUCUGGGUGCCACCGGGCCACGUGACGACGUAUGUUGACGAUUUUAUUGUCUGUUUUAUCGCAGUAGGGACAGGUGUAAAGGGACUCCUGGGUGAUAUUUAAUCGGCAGUGGAAGUCUGCUGCGGUUUUCGAUUUGAAGGCCCUACGACAUCUGGGACAGCUCCAGGUUCUCCGCGACCUGAUGCGGUCUAUUGGGGUGUCUGGAAAUUCAGAAGAUCGGAGGGUCAAUUUAAUCGCGAUUGAGAGGGUAAUUAAUGAAUUUUAGAAAAUUAGAAGAGGAAAUUUUGGGGGGGGGGAGGAUGUUUUUGGGGGUUUUGGGGGUGUGAAUAUGUUAAUGAGGGGGUUAGUAAGGGGUAAAAUGGUCCUUUUUUGGGGUGACAAAUGUUGUUUGAUGUUAAGUUGAUGAUUUUUGGAUUUUUAUGGUGAGUUUUAUUGUUUAUAACGUGUGAUAUCGAGUUUUUUUCCUGUUU